rnacentral:lncRNA from 2 species
CCGGCACGGCGGCUCAGCAACGGCGGCGACUUGGUUCGGGCUUGAACCUUAUCGAUCUCCUUCUUCCUCCCUACUUCUGCUAGUAACUUGUAUCCCCUAUUCAAUCCCAUUUCCACCACAAAGCUUGAGUUGUAGUAAUACAAUUGCAGCUCAAAACCACCUCGACCUUCAUUGCUUGUACUGUAUAUUGGUUCAUUGAGAUUUAGAUAUUGGGUUGCUAACAAUCUGGUAUCAGAGCCGUUCGGUUCACUGGGAUUCUUGUCAUGGAGGAGUUUGGGAGGCAGCCAUGCAAGAGGGAGCAGGAAUUAGGUUGGGAAAGUUUUCAUCCAAGCAGCGCCCACCAUCUGUUCGAUGAAAUGUCAAGCCCAUUGGAGGUGUUUGAGGAAGACGUUCUUCUUGUCAUGAGUGAGGAGAACAUCACAUGGGAUGAAGCACUCCAUCUGUUACAAGAGGAACUGAAGGAUGCCCAAUGUAGAUUUGAUGAGAAGCUAGAUCGUUUUUUGGAGGUGUUCGGCUUGAUGGGAGACAAGAGCAAUCAAUCUGAGGGAGACAAAAGGAGCAAUGAAUUUAAGGAAUUCAGUGCCUCCAUCAAGGAGCUCACCCCCACCACCGAGGCUGCUGCAUUUCAAUCACCCCAAGCAUCACCUUCUUCAGCGCCCACCAAGUGUUCGAUGAUUUGCUUUGGCCUCGACACCAUGUCCGACCUCAACAUGGCAGCAGCGGUUGUGUGCGCCACCACUUCUCUAGCCUCCGUGGAGUUAGUGGCUAGAGGGAACGCAACCUGUGAACCCUACGUCAACACCCCUGGUCAUCCCAAGGAGACGCACACCAAGUGUUCGAUGGUUGGCUUUGAGGUCAAGGGUGGCACCGACCACACCAAGGUCACAUGCCAUACCAUGAUGGGUGUGCCUGAUGGCGUUCUAGUACCUGAAGCAUCAUUCCAUGAAGCGUCCAAGUAUCCAAUCCUGUAG